UCCGAGGAGAAGGCGCUGGCCUACUCAUGCCUCGCGUAAAUCCACAUUGGAAGGGCAGCUGCUCCUCUGGAUGUUUUGAAUAAAUGAAACCUUCCGCUCCUUAGAAACUCUCGUCUCUACCCAGAACAGCCGCACAUCGCGAUGCAUGCUCCUUUUCGCUGGUUUUCCCAGUGUGUAUGAAUGAGGCUUGUAGCUCCCCUUUUGCCUGAUGAUUUACAGGACAGUACAUUUGCUGGAAGAGUGAAACAAUUUGACACCUGAUUAUAAUCUACUUGUUUUUCUCGGGAUCCCCGACUAUUACCUGGGAAAACUAGACAGCCUGGGAAAACUAGACAGCCUGGGAAAAUCAUCUACGCAUUUGGAUGCUCGCCUGUCAGGGAUUUUCCGACCCGAUCCUCGCCUAUUCCGCCGGGCGACCUCCUCUGGCCACGCGACCUCAUUGCUGACUGACCACGUCCUCCCUUCGGCAUGCCCCCCUCCUUCAACUGCAUCCUCAAGCAGAUCUCUCUUUGUGGUUUCUUCCACAUGUAGAACCAGUCACAUCUCUUCCUAUGGCUUCCCCUACGAAGCUUUGAAUCCGGCAUGCAGCAGCCACGCCAAGCUGCAGCAGCUCAGUUCCUGGCGAAGCGGGGCAAAAUUUCGUGUUUUGACCCAUUUCGUGAUUUGACCCUUUUCACAUAACAUUUCAGGAUCUAACCCUGAUUCGAAAAAUUAUCGGGAUUUGACCCUUGCGCUACUGCCGGUAGGGUUAUACAGUAGGGUGCGACGGAGUGGGACGGCCACCGUGUUUGCAUGCUGACGUGGAUUAGCACCUUAACGCCAGGGACCGGUAGGGUGCGGUAGGCUGUCUGAUCUUACCGCCAGGGUCCUUGGCGGUAGGGUCUUUGCCUCCAUCCAAGUUCAUUUUCUUUCUUCUUUUUAAAAACAAUAGAUCUUAAACAAUGAUAUAGCGUCAAAAACAACAAUGAUAUAGAGUCAAAAUAACAGAUCUCAAACAAUUAAACUUGGACAUCACAUACACAUGUCAUACGGAGUUCCACAUAAACUUGUGCAUAAUAAGCAAACGAAGUUCAACUACUUAGUUCCACAUAGCAAACGAAGUUUCACAAAUAGCAAACACAUAGUUCAAAUAGCAACACAUAGUUUCACAACCACUAAACUUUUCAACUACAGCCAAGUAUCGAAUAGCAGAAUUUAAUUCAUCCUUCCCCUCUUGCUCUUGGAGGCACGGUCCUCGUUCCUCUUUGAACGAGUCUCUUCAGUGUUCUUCUUGGACCGUCGAGGAACCGGUCUCUGGAAAGGGUCCGGACUCAGCAAAUCCUUCUUCUUCGGAUUCCUCUUCGGCAGCUGAGAUGGUUGAAAUGGUUGAGCUGGUGGAGGUCCGUAAUCUUCAUCGUACUCCUCCUCACCAUCGCUCUCAUUCUCCUCUUCCCCAUGAUAGGCCUCCUCCUCCUCUCCUUCAUUUGUGGCCUCCUCCUCCUCAUCCUUCUCCUCCUCCUCAACCAACCUAGACGACGAGGGACCAUGGCUCGAUGAGGCGAUGUGACCCUGUGUGGCUCCGGGAUGAUAAGCUUCAACCGACCCAGCUCCAGCACACCCAAGCAGGCCGACAACGCUUCACCAACUUCUGCACUCACAAUGAAACAAGGGCAUAAUAAGUAUCAGAUUUAUGAUUGUAAGUGAACAAGAUGCAUCUGUUCCAAGGAGGCUGAAAUUGUACCUUCAUUGUCCCCCUCAAUUUGUUCUCAGAUUGUACGCUCUCGGGGAUAUCACCUAGUGCACCAGAGGCGUCGAAGAUGCAUCCGUUCAGCUCAUCGAACUAUAGAGGCAUAAAUCAGUCACGAUGACGAACAAAAUAAUUUAAAUACAACCGUCGGUUCAAACUUACCACUCUGUUGAUGAGGGGUGCAAACUCCCUAAAUCCACUAUGCAUGUCUCUGAUGCCGGUCUGGUAGGCCUCUUCCUCGGGGUCAUCCCUCUCCAGCUCCACGAUGUCUUCCUCCAUCCACUGAGGCCUGAGACGAAUACAGUGCUUACAACCAUCAUUGUACCACAUCAUGUGUUGGUCCUCGUAAGCAUUCCAGUCAAUCACUCUCCUCUCCACAUCUUUAUGGGAGUUCCGUUGGUUCCACGUCGUCACAUGAGCUUUAUGCUCCUCUCCCCAGUCUGUGAUCGACUGAUUCUUCUGCCGGCUCAUCCCGCAAGGCAUUAGCAACAAGAAACAUUAUAAUAAAGUCGAACACAAUGAAAUCAUGGGCACGAAGAACAAGCGCAGGCACUCACAAGUGGAGCGCGUGGCCGCCGGUAUCGGUCGGUUGGCCCGGUGGGGGUAUGCUGAUACAUCCCAAACUGCACGGCCACGUGGUGUGGCAAGUGCCACUCGACGACGUACACACAUAUCAUGGGCACGAUGCACCGCCAAAGAGCACGGUCCGCAUCGCACAUCACAUUUAGAUCGAAGUCCCACUCUCGAUCAUGAUACGACCACCAAUUUACCUAUUACAUAUACAUGCGUAAGUCCCCACUCUUGAUCAAAAGUGAAAUCAAAGAGAAAGAUGGUGAGCGAGUUCAUAUACCUGCAUAAUCGUCAAAGCGUCGAUCUCGUUGGUGUAGGCCUUGUACGAAGUCUUGUUUAGACCCGUGUAGAGUUUGACAAUGCCCCACUCGUAAGCUAUGGUGGGGUGUCGAGUAUCAUCGCCUUCCUCGCUAUAGGCACCCCAUGGGCAUCUUGGCAGCUUCUCCGGACGCCUCACCGGCAGCCGCUCCCACAUACAAAUGGAGAGGCCCCAGACAAAGCCACCCAUAUUGGACUUGUCUCCCGUCCUCUGGGUUGUGUCGUCAAGCUGCAAAACAUCAAAUGAGGAUCAGAUAUAACAAAAUGUGAUGGACAUACUUUUGUAGGUAGGCAAUGAGAUACUCUCUUAUUGAAUGGUAUAGGUAGGCGAGAGAUGAGGUCCCCCAAGUGUACCCUGCAUCCUAGUCGGAUAGGAAGAACAGAUACGAUCAGUUGGCAGAGUUCCCGGAGCUGUCUGGAAACACGACCUCCAUGAGAAGAUACCACAGGUAGGCCCUCGCGUACCACUCCACAGUUGCCUCAUCGGCAUCCUCGAGGCAUGUCUUCCGGUGCUCCGAGAGCCAGGGCAAUGGUACACCGGAUGUACGGUUACCCUUAGCAUCGAGGCAGUCGCCGAUGAGGGUGGUAACCCUCUGCUGCUAGUUGCUCCUCUACGCCCGGUCAGUGCUUGACCAUUGAUCGGCAUGGCAGUAAUCAUCGCCCAAUCGUCGAGGGUCACCGUCAUCUCCCCGCAUGGGAGAUGGAAAGAAUGGGUCUCCGGUCACCAUCGGUCAAUCAAGGCUGUCAGAGCUGCGUGGACAAGCGUCGGUGGCGGACGCUUGAACUGAAACACGAAACCCAACAGUCAGGCUCUCUUGAAGUACGGCGCGUAGCGCUCAUCAUAGUCCAUAUUCGGGGCAACCCCGUGACCCCUCAUGCGCAGUGGCGGGAGCAUCUGUCAAAAACUGGACGACAAGAGUUACAAACUUGUUAUCAUCAAUCCAAAAACUUUGAUCAAUAUUUCCUCCAUAUUGCUUACCACUCCGUUCUCUAUGAAACGGGCACGAUGACCCUUGUCGAAUGCGUAGUCAAGCAUGGAGUACCAUGGGCCAACAUUGUCCGCAAGAGGUGCCCGCCUUAAUAAAAUUUGAUAAACAAAAGCAUCAUAAGCAUACAUAAACAAAAAAUAAAUUUCUUGAUUAAAUGAACUUGGGUUCAUCUUAAGCAUAUUCAUCCAACAACAUCUACUACACAUGAUGGAUCACAUCAUAUCAACAUGCAUCAUAUCAAAAUAAAAUCCUCCAACAUGCAUCAUAUCAUCAAUUUUUUAACAUUUUUUUAAAAUAGAGUUCAUCUUGAAUGUAUUUUCUCCAAACAACAUCUUCAUAUCAUCAUAUCAACAUGCAUCCACUACACUAACAUAUCCCACAUCCACUACACUACACAUACAUGUCCUACAUCCACUACAUCAUACUUUUUUUAAUUUUUUUUAUGAACUAGGGUUCAUCUUCACACUAACAUAUGAACUAUUGAUUAGAGUUCAUAUUCAAUACCACUAGUUACUAAAGAACUAAGAACUAGAACUACAAUCAAGCUAAAACAAUCGUAAGUGAAAAAAAUUCCAAUAAAAGUUCAAAAAGAUGAGGGAUUUCAAGCAAAUAAUGCAUCAAAUCGGAAGCAAGUUUGCAAAAACUACUUGGAGGGAUUGGAGGAGCUUAUGUUUCUCUCUUCGGGGCCAUCUUGAUUCGCAAAAAUGAUGAAGAAACGGUGAAGAUCCGAGGAGGAGAGUGGAGGAGAUGAGAGAGGGAGAGAGGGGCGACGGUGAGGAAGAGGAACUGCCAGCGGGGGAGGGGGAGGGGUGGGAAGAAAAGGCAGGGGCGGGGGGUCGGGCAAAAUAACUGCUCGCACCCUACCACCAGGGGUGCUGGCGGUAGGGUGCGACGGAGGGGGACGGCGGCCGUCUCCACGUGCUGACGUGGAUUAGUACCCUACCGCCAAGGGCCCUGGCGGUAGGCUGUGUAACCCUACCGCCAGCCACCCUGGCUAUAAGAAGAAGGGUCAAAUACCGAUUUUUUUUGAACUGGGGUCAGAUCCUGAAUUUGUAUACCAGAAGGGUCAAAACACGAAAUUUUGCCACGAAGCGGCAGCGAGGUUGAGGGCGAAUCUUGUUUUGCCUUUUUUUAGUCUUUUCUGCAGGAACCAUGAGGGCCCCACUGCUAGCUUUCUCCCCGAAGUGGCAAAGUGCCAAAUGAUGGAGGGGAAAUACCCCGUGUAUUUCAAUGCUUCAAGGAUAUCACACCCAUGCUUUUGUUACCCUAGAGUUUCUCUCCCUAGCAACUAAACGAGGCCAAACUGGUUAGAGCAUCUCAGGCUGUUCCGUGCCCCAGGGACUGAAAUAGCGCCUCCUAAGGGUUAACCAGCGUUAUUUUCACCGUGGGACACUUGGGUUCCCAACUGCCGCUCCAAGCCUAGACGCCAUUUUUCCAAAUGCAAAUUUAGCUAAUUUCAAAGAAAAUGACACGAGGACUAAAUUCAGGCGGUUUUCAUUCAUAUUUGUACAAAUUUAAAGACAUAAUAAAAAACUUUAAAAACUACGUUGCCGCCCCGAGCCUACUACAUGCCGAGGAGCUUGUAGAAGGCGUUGUAUUCGAUGUCGUCGCCAUCGUUGUCGUCCUGCACGCCGCCGCCCUUGCUGCAGCCCUGUCCUGGGUCGCCGUUGCGAACGGGGUUGGUCGGCGCCGGCGCCUCCUCGUUGCUGUCAUCGAGGACGAUGACGCCACCCUCGUCGCGGCAGCGAUGCCGUGGGGAGAUCUCCUCCAAAGCGCGGUGCUGGCGCUCCAUCUCCUCCCGCACGUAGUUGUCCCGCGCCCAUUUCAGGCCUGUUUCGAGGCUGGUAGCCAUCUCCACGUGCUCCUGCUUGAUGACCACGGGCGGCGUAGCCGGCUCCUUCUUCGUCCUGACCAGGAGAAGAUGGCCGCGGGAAGGUGAAGGUUGGCGGCGGCCCUCGUUUAUGAUGAGGUUGCCGCUGCGGCCGCGCUAGCGCUCCGGCGUCUCAUGGGGCUCGGGCUUGACAACGGCAAGCGGUGUUGUGCCGGAGGAGUGGGAUCCGAAGGAAUAGGAGGACGCCCCCGUCAUGCGCCUCGACAGUUAUGAGCUGUCUCUCUAGCGCGAGAACGACGGCGCCGGGUACUCCAACGGCGGCGAGUUGCCGCCCUCGAUGUGCUCGAGGAUGGCGUGGAGCGUGCGGCUGGGGACGCCUCACCACUGACGUGGUCGUUGGAGUUGUGCCCCCCCUUGGUGCCGGAGCUCCAUUGGUGGAUGCGAGCUGGUCGGCGUGGCGGCGCUAGAAGUACGCCAUCCACAGAGUGUGGUUGUCGGGGGUGUACUUCGGCUACUGUAGUGCUUCCUACGGCAAGGUCGCCUGGAUCCGCGCGAUCUCACUGCGGCGUUCAACAUUGGAGGGCGGUGGGGGCAUGAGGAUGCCUCCGGUGCCAAGCCUCCAAGUGCCCGGCACACGCAUGUCGGGUGGCACCGGGUAGUUGGCCUCGUAGAGAAGUCGCACCUCCCACUUGUGCAGAUGGCCUCGUAGAGAAGUCGCCAGGGGACCUCUCGGCCAUCUGUUUGGCUUGAUUGUGAAGGAGAGAGGGUGAGAACAAGGGCGGCGAGGGAAAGAAGGGGGUCGGCGGUGAGAGAGAGAUGGCUGUGAGGCGAGUGUGUGGCAAGCGGCGACGAAACCGACUUUUAUAGCGACGAGGGGGCGGCAACAGUGCAGAUGCAUGGCGGGAAAGGGCGGGAGGCACGGCGGCCCGCCUUCAGUGCACCGCCCAUGAUCAAUGGAAGGCUGAUCGGCGGCAGCCUUGGCAUUGAUUCGCGCAGGAGCCGAGGCUAUGAGAUGAGGACGACGAUGUAGUCGCUGACUCGGCGGGCCUGUGGGGAGGGAAUCCGGCGUGGGAAGUUUUGGCGCGUUUUUCUUUCCCCCGGCGCCCCUGGUCGGCCCCCAGCACGCUGGGUUCGGCCUGGGUCUGCCGACGCCAAUUUCGGCCCUAACCGGCAAAAUUUGNNNNNNNNNNNNNNNNNNNNNNNNNNNNNNNNNNNNNNNNNNNNNNNNNNNNNNNNNNNNNNNNNNNNNNNNNNNNNNNNNNNNNNNNNNNNNNNNNNNNNNNNNNNNNNNNNNNNNNNNNNNNNNNNNNNNNNNNNNNNNNNNNNNNNNNNNNNNNNNNNNNNNNNNNNNNNNNNNNNNNNNNNNNNNNNNNNNNNNNNNNNNNNNNNNNNNNNNNNNNNNNNNNNNNNNNNNNNNNNNNNNNGGUUAUUCUCAGGUGUGCAUUUCCAGCAAGCCUCCUUAUCACAGUAUAUCCCUUAAAACUAGUUUUUUCAUUUCUCUUUAAUAAUAGGCAUAUGCAAGACUAUUUUCUCACUAUAAUAAUUUAAAUAAUGUAAUUUUGGAUAGACAUAUUUGAACAUCACUUCCAAACCCAAUUAUGAAGUUUGAUUUAAAAUUUAAAUUUAAAUUAAUUCAAGUAGACAUAAAAAAUUGUUAAAAAACAAAGAUCAAACAUGCAACAUAUGAGAGAACAUCAUAAUUAUAGAAAAAUCUCUCCUACAUCACCAUUGCCAUUUUCACCCUUGUAUCCAUCCAUCCACACUGCCAUGUGCUCUGGUGCCUGUUGCCAUCUUUGAUGCUAAAUUUGUGUUUUUUCUACUCACGAUACUGAAGCUUGUAGUCUUGCUCCAUUUUGUUUCUCUUGCAAUGCCUUCAAUUAGGAUGUUGAUUUGACGGAAGCUAGGCUUGCAACUUCUUUUAUUCGAUUGCUGCCUCCUCACAUUCCACUUUGAACUCCUUCAUUGCCUUAAACCUCAUACCAUCUCAAGUCCUUGUUUUUUGUUCCUUCCAACUUACCAUUGCUUGCUGGGAAGCCUAGGAGAGCCGCCGACUCCAACUAUUGUCCAUGUACGAUUCAUACAGUCUUGAACAUUAUCGUUUCUCCAUUCCUUUACAUUUCUCACCUCUUCUUCCGGGUGGCCUAUUUGCAAUGAUGAUUGGAGUGACAUUGCCACUAGGAUUCGAGACUUCAUCAAUAUCAUCAUCAGUAUUGUCAGUGUUGUGCACUUGUGCAACCGAUGAUGAUUUAGCCUUUGGUUGGAUUGGAUAACCGUUCCUGUCUCUCCAGUUAUCGUUGUUGUGGAGCAAACUCCAAUAAUGGAACAUGACAAAAGCCCACAAUUUCCGGCUCCCUCUGGCUGUAUAACUCGUCUGUGUAACCGAGCUGUUAAGUUUAUAAUUUCACAUAGCAACUUGAGUGCAAACAAUUUAUAAAUAAAGUGUACAAGUAGUCACCAGCCUGUCCUCCAUUAUUUCACUACCUUUUCCGUGAUCUACUUGAGCCACACGACCUACCCAAUGAUUGCAAAUUACUGAAUUAAGCUCAAUCGAUGUGCUAGUGACUUAAUGGAUUGCUCGAUGGAAGCAAAUACACUGCAAUGAUAGUUGAGUGGCUUUAUUUUAUACACAUUUUUAGAGCUCAUUUAUUUCAUACCAUCUUCAUAUAUCAUGUCCCAUUGAACCAAUACAUGUCCGUUAUGCAUGAUUAUUGUUUUUACUCUUUUGUUUGUGAGCAUUGCAUAGGUUGUGGUUCUAUUUAGUUUUUAUUAGUUUACUUUGUUUUGUUUUGUCUAUAGUUGUUUUGAAGCAACCAUAGGCCAGGCACGCUGAAAAGACUAAGGAUGGGUUUCAACACAAAGGACUUCCAGGCACCAGACUUGCGCAUUUGGAGUGUAAAAAAUGACAUUUUUCUAAAGUGCUCAAAAUGAAGAUAUAAUACCAUAGGUGCAUCAACGUCAUUCACGCGAUUCCAAUGAGGCCAAGAAUGUCAAAAUUGGAGUUUGUACGAAGAAGUUAUGCCCAUUUUACUAAAGGGGUCCACGACAUUUGAUGACGCUAAGUACGACCAUGCUGGGUCGUACCACCCCCACAAAAGCAUGAAAUCGCUUAGAUCAGAUGGGAUUCUUCAUGUAUUUCAUCCUUGUUUGUUCCUAUGACUUUCUUAACCAUCAAGGGAGGUAUUGAGAUUGAAUUUAGCCAAUCUAGAGCCCUUGGAUCAAAGGAGAGAAACUAUAUCUAUGCAGGAGGCUUUGGGAGAGCCCUUGUAUGUACACCUUUAACCCUAGCGGCCAUCAUCAUUCAACAUUCAUCCACGAACAGAUCACAUUACCUGCAUUGCUUCUCCAGGACUACCUCUGAAAGGGCAUUUCCCUGCUUAAGUGAUUUUGGUGUUGAUGUCAACACAAUUAAUGGUCUAAAAUUGUGAUUAAGCUACACAUGUAUAUUCUGAAAGUGGCACAAGGUGGUUAGGUUCCCCUCUAAAAUAAAAAGAUGGAACACGGUGUUUGUGAUUUUAUUUUAUUUGGGUUGGUGGAAAUCCGUACUAUUAAGACCCCUUUGUUGGGGCUACAGAUUCCUAGAAAUCAGCUAUAGCCGAGACUCUAAACAUCACUAGUCCACGCACGCGGCCUCCUCCUUGUGGCCUCAGCGCCCUUGCACAUGGCUCUCAGCCUGGUCUCCUCUCGCAGCCUCGUAGGCCAUGGUGUCAGAGCUAAACCGUUGGAUCUCAGGCAGGGGGUCUCGAUCUCGUAGUGUUGGCUAGAUGGUAACAAGGACACAGGGGAGAUGGUGUUUACCCAGGUUCGGGCCCUCUCGAGGAGGUCAAACCCUACAUCCUGCUCUAUUGGGUAAUAACAGUAUGAAUGAUCAUGCUGUUAGAGUAAUGACUAUAGGAGGUAGAAUGACUCAGGAGCCACUUUAUCCUAAAGGUCACCCUAAAAGAAUCGAACAAGACUCUCAAAGAAUUAAUGUUGAUGCACCUAGUCCAUCUAAAAAUAAAAAGAAAAAUAGAAAUGAUAGGACUUUGCAUACCUCUAGUGAAGCUGAAGUAGAAAAACCUUCUGAGGAUAGUAAUGAUAUUUCUAUUUUCGAUGGUGAAACACAAUCUGGUAAUGAACAUUCACCUAGUGAUAAUGAUGAUGAUAAUGAUGACGUUCAUGUGGAUGCUCAGCUAGAUAAUGAUAAAGAACCUGAUGAUGAUGUUGAAAUAGAACCUGUGGUUGAUCUUGAUAAUCCACCUCCUAAAAAUAAACGUUAUGAUAGAAGAGAUUUCGUUGCUAGAAAACAUGGUAAAGAGAGAGAACCAUGUUUUAAGAAACCCAUGCCCUUUCCACCUAAACCAUCUAAGAAUUAGGAUGAGGAAGAAUUUGAACGCUUUGCUGAAAUGCUCAGACUAGUCUUUUUGCGUACUCGUUUGACUGAUAUUUUAAGAUGACCCAUAUGCUAAAUACAUGAUAGAUAUUGUCCCUAAUUAAAGAAAAAUACCUGAAGCUGAAAUUUCCACCAUGCUUGCAAACUAUUCUUUUAAGGAUGGAAUAGCUAGGAAAUUAGGAGAUCCAGGAAUACCAACUAUACCAUGCUGCAUUAAAAGAAAUUAUGUCAAAACUGCUUUAUGUGAUUUAGGAGCUAGUGUUAGUGUUAUGCCUUUAUCUUUAUAUAAAAUAUUUGAUUUGAAUGGACUCACACCCACUGAAAUAUCAUUCCAAAUGGCUGACAAAUCAACUGCCAUACCUAUCGGUAUUUGUGAGUAUGUGCCCGUUGUAGUUGCAAAUGUUACUAUCUUGACAGACUUUGUUAUACUUGAUAUGCCCGAGGACGACAACAUGUCGAUUAUCCUUGGUAGGCCCUUUUUGAAUACUGCAAGGGUUGUUAUUGAUUGCAACAAAAGCAAGCCCACUUUUCAUAUCAAUGGUAAUGAACAUAUGAUGCACUUUCCGAAGAAACAAUUUCAAGUAAAUGGUAUUCAUGUUAUUGAAAAGACUUCGACAAUUACUAUUGGAAAUUUUGAACUCCCACUUCCUACUGUCAAAAAGUAAUAUGAAACUCUUAUAACUGGGGAGAUGCAUAUCCCCGUUGAGGUAGCUUAGUGUUAUACGAAGAUUCUUCGGUUUCAUGUUAAUCGAAAAUGGUUGUUAAUAUGACUUGAUCAACCUCAUUAAGGAUUAUUUUUGAGGGGCAUGUGGUUGAUGAAUUUAGUAAGCACAACCUUCUGUACCCGCUUUUUGUUCUCUGUUAUUUUUAGUUAAAUGCAAUAAAAUGCCAUGAUUAUCCCGUUUUCUGAAUUAUCUGUGCAAUAAAAAAAUGCCCAAAGAUGAAAGUCCUCAAAAUGAUCUAAAUUUGUUACAUGAAUUUUUAUAGAAUAUUUAAGGAUUUUUGGCAAGAAAACAUCCCAGGGGAUGCCCCAGGUGCCCACGAGGCACUAGGGCGCGCCCACCCCCACUAGGCAUGCCCUGGUGGCUUGUGAGCCCCACAAGGCCCCCCUAGUUUAUCCCUUCAGCCCACUUCGUCUCUUACCUCUAGCAAAAAUUCUUGGCAGCUCUCUCUCUCUCUCUCUCUCUCUCUCUCUCGUGUUCUUGCUCCCAAACUUGAGAUUUUCGAUCUUUUUGCUCGGAGCUCCGUUACCCAAACUGUUUUGGGGGAUUGCUACUUGGUAUGUGAGUCCUCUAAUGCUCCAAUUAUUUUUUGCGCUAGUGGAAUAUAUUUUUCAUAAUUAUCUGCUCUUGGUGCUAUUUAAAAUGAGCUUGCAUGUUGAAUUUUUGAGUUCUAAGUAGUUUGAAUGCUUUAUAUAGCCUCUAGGCAUUCAUAUGAGUAGUUGCUAUCAAUCUUGUGAAGUUUUGUUGACAUCAUUUUGUGGCCCAAAAAUUCAGAAAUUUAUUCGUACAAAAAUGAACUUUUCUUUAGGAGGAGUUGUUUGAGGAGGAGGUCCUCAGAGGGAUGGUCGAGUGAGAGCUUGAUACGAUAGGAUCAUGUUGAACCAAGGGCAAGCUUGGUGCGGGUUUUCGAUACCAAAUCAUGUCGGUGGCCGUGCGACGAGUUUAUGAUAGGCGGGUAUUAAAGAAGAAUUUGAUGAAUAUAUUCAUAACACUGAGCUCGCUCCCUUCAUCACAGAUAAGUGCAUGCAACACUACAACCUUACCAUCUCAUUCACUAAAAGGUUUGAGUUUCAUCCUCGCACUUCGAGAGUUUUGUUUCACUUGUAUGACCGAGCCUAUAAUAUGCCUCUGGAAGAAUUCUGUGAUGCACGCAAAAUUCCAUUUUGGGGUUCGUUAGACGAACCACCAAAAUCUGAUUAUGAGGUGUUCCUUAAGAGUCUUUGCAAUGGUGAGGAUAGCGGAAUCACACAAGCUAGAAUAAAAAGUAUUCAUUUUCCCUCUAUUCGCUAUUUUGCAUUGUUUAAUGGCAAGUGCACCGUGGGCAAACAAGACCGUAGUACACUUUGUGCCCCCGACUUGAGUAUUAUUCAUACUGCUCCAAUGAGCAUUAAACAUUAUAAUCUUGGGGCGAUUGUUGCAUGGAGGUUGCAACGCAACGCAAGUAGUGGUCAUUUUUAUGGUGGAAUUUAUGCCUCUCGCGUAGCUGCAAGGCUAGGAGUUUCGCCUAUGCCCAAUGAUCCUAUCUUACCUGACAAAUAUCUAGACGUUGAUGCAAUACAACGCCAUGAGUUUAUUAAGUAUAGAGCUUAGAACUAUGACUAUAACUUAAUGUUCAAUAAAGAACACAUUAUAUCUAUUAUUUUUCCUGCACCGACCCUCUUUGAUUUUUAGAGUAAACAAGGAUAUUACAUCUACGAGAGUAAGGCACGCGAGCACAACGCAACAGUCAUCCACACCAAGAUCGAGGACGCCCAUGCCAAGAUAUUCCAGUCCUCCUCGGAAUCCAGCAUGCACCCCAUGUCUGAAAAGGCGGUGGAGGCCAUGGAGCACCUACUUCCUCAUGAGAUCACCAAGCGGGAGCUGGAGAUGUAGGAGGCAACAUUGAUCGAGGAGCGCCAUGAGGGGAGUUGUGCGUGGCUAAGGAGGAGGUAGAGAAGAGCAUGUUUGUCAAGGAAUCGGCAGUGGAGUACCAACGCGAGCUCUAGCGCAACCACUACUAUGAGUAGGAUAACCUUGAGGGCGGCGCCAAGGAUGAGGACGAGUAUGUCGAUGCAGUCGACUUCAGCUUGGGGGACAUGGAGUCCACCAACGGUGCCAUUUCGCCAAGACAAGUCAUCGACAUCUCAUCUUACACCGGCGAGGCAUAGGGUGGCGCGUUAGCGGCUUUGUUAAUAUUAUGCAUACUUAGUCUCUAUUUAUAAUGCUCGUCUUUUGUUAGAGCAAUGUUUAGAUCAACUGGUUCUAUUUAAUUACUAUAAUUGCUUGAUUCAGUAAGUGUGGUAUCUGUGCUGUAGGCUCUUUUGUGUAUCCAAGUUAGCAAGCGAUGUUAAAUAAUGCAAUGAUGUGGAUGAGCAUCGUACUCAGGGAAACUUCGACCAAAAUUUGAAUGCUCAACCUCAUCACAUGCACGUAAAGCAGAAGGAUCAGUUCUGAUACACACAUUUGUUGAAAGUGAAUGGUGUCCGGUGGCACCACGCGCCAAGUUUCCCUCGACCUUUUGAAUUUUUUCCUACCGCCAAAAUAUCUAACUCUUUCCCCCUCCCCACCCCUUUCUCCCUGACCACAAGUCACAUUUUCCAUGUUUCCUCCUUCCUUCCUUCCCAAGCUAUAGCUGCUUCCUCUCUCUCGCCGUCUCGUAUCUGAGUGUCGCGGUCGCCAUGGUCUUCUUCAAUGACCUCUCCAGCGGUUCCUCCUACGACAACGACUCUUUCACCAGCUGGGUAUUGCCUCUCUCCUCUCUCUUGGGUCACGAUUUGGAAUAAAGGAUUUUAACCCGGUGACCGAUUUGAGUCAUUUCUUCCUCUUGUAGCUCCCUAGGACCAUCACUUGCAACGAAUGGAGCAGGGUGGUUGAAGAUCUGCAUGUUGGGAAACGUUGCAUGGAAAACAAAAAAAAAA
rnacentral:lncRNA from 1 species